UACGGAGGGGGCUAGCGUUGUUCGGAUUUACUGGGCGUAAAGCGCGCGCAGGCGGCCUUUUAAGUCUCGUGGUGAAAUGCCGGGGCUCAACCCCGUGCCCGCCGGAGAUACUGGGAGGCUGGAGACGAGUAGAGGCAAGCGGAAUUCCGGGUGUAGCGGUGGAAUGCGUAGAGAUCCGGAAGAACACCGGAGGCGAAGGCGGCUUGCUGGGCUCGGUCUGACGCUGAGGCGCGAAAGCGUGGGGAGCGAACAGG
rnacentral:rRNA from 1 species